CCUGUUUCCAGAUGAUCACCUCAACUUUAUUUCCCACAUCUUCUACUGACUUUUGCAAAUUUGCUAUGGCACAUUUGUUUCUAAAGAGUUUCUAUCUGAUUUUUUAAUAUUCUUUGUUGCUUGUAAAAGCCUUCUCUCCUUAUGUCAUAGUUGCAGAAUCUUACUUUUUCUUAUGACAUCGUUUAUAGCCUCUUUACUUCAGAUUUCUUUUCUUUGAUCUGAAUAGCCACCUUUACUAAGUGAUCAAAUUUAGCAUCAUGAAUUAUUUUUAUUAGUGGGCCAAUUGAUAUUUAUAUGCUCUUCCAUCAUGAUUUAAGAAUAACACAAAAUAAUAUCGUCUUUGAAGCAGACCUAUUUUUCAGGAAAUACCAGAAAUAGGGAAAUAAGUUAAAUGAGAUCAUGAUGGAAUAGUCAAAUAACGAAUGUAGGACACUCUAUCUGCAAGACAACUGAUCUGAACUCCUUGAAAUACCAAAUGUCAUGAAAAACAAAAGGCAGAGGAAGUGUUCUAUAUUAAAGGGGUUAAGAAACACACAUAAAAUGCAACUCAUGAAAUCAUGAAAAAAAAUGAAGCCCUAACAAAAGUCACUUGGGGAAUAAUAUGAAAUAUAAGUAACAGAAUUAUUAUUAUUAAUCUUAGAUGUAAAAAUGAUUGUAUAUGUGAAAGCCCUUAUUUUUAGGAGAAAUAUGCUCAAUUAUUUAGAAGUGCAAUUCAGCAUUUGUGGUAAAGGGAGAAAGAGAUAGAGAGAGAUCAAGCACAAAAAUGGUGAAAGAGUCAUCUCAUUAUUCUGCUUCUUUUUAGGUUUGACACUUUUCAAAAUAAAAGUUGAGGAAAGGUGUUCUUUUCCUAUAGAGUCUGUUUCAUCUAAGUUACUCUUUUUUACUUUUCUGGCUAUUUUCUGUCUUUCAUGUUUUGAGGAUUGCAUCAGAUGGCAGGUAAUCCUUGGUUGCCUACUCAUGUUUAAGAGUAGAAGAUUAAAAUGCUGAUCAUAAACUAUGAAUGUAGAUGGGGCUUGCUUACUAUGAUUACUUGUUGUGCUAUCUGUGUGUGUGUAUAUGUGUGGAUAACCCUGCUAUAAAUAUUGUUAUAUAUUUCCUCAGCUUGUCAGAGAAGAGUUUCUCAAUUUUGUAGACGGGGUCUUUAGACCUGGGUGCUACUGGGAAAACAGUCAAUCAAAAGCCAGAAGUUUCAUCUUUCACUAGGUAAACCCACACUUAUUUCUCCAUUUUUACUUUGGCAUGUACCCCAACUACACCUGUCUCCUUCUCUUUCCAGUGCAGGGACCCUUCAAUUAUUCUCUUCAGAGUGUAAAUCUCAAGUAAGGAAGAGUCCAAAAUCUGCUUCUUUAUGAUGAGAAGUAGCUGAGGGGAUAUAAUAGACUUAGACACAAGCUUCUUGCUUCAAUUCCACCUUCACUUCCAUUCAGAGGUGGAACUGUCAAUUCCUAUGCCUGUCUGGGAUUCCCUAUUGCCAACAUAGGAUCCUGCUUUCUCAUAUUUGCUAAAUCAGUUACCGCCCACCCAUCUGCUUUCAGCUUCCAAAAGUUUGCUGCAUUUGCCUCUUACAGCUAUUUUUGUUCUUGUGGAUUCCUGACGGAUUAAAAAAAAAUCUCUGCAUUCCCCAUUUUAGUGGAAUAAGAUGGGAGUAAGCAAGGGAAUAUAUGUAUAUAUAAUCCAUUAUUUAUAAGCAAUUUUUCUAAGAAUAUGUAUGGUAAAAAAACAUUUAAUAUAUCUCGCCUUGAAAAAGAACACAUUGUUUUACUUUUAAAAGCUAGUGUUCAGUAAUCCCAGUUUUUCAAGGCUAUCUUAAAAAUGCAUAAUAUGAGUAUUUCAAGGUGUCAAAAUUAUACUGAUAAAAAUUGCUGAAGUAGGACUUCAGGGUAAUUUUUAUUUUAUUUCUCAUUUUUAUAUUCCUAGUUUUUAUAAUGACAAAAAUUAUUUUUAAAUGAAAAACACAUGUAAAAAUUACAUCAUAAAAAAUAGUAAAUAAUCCAUACUUUUUUUUAAUGGCCACACCCACAGCAUGUGGAAAUUCCUGGGCCGGGGACUGAAUCCAAGCCACAGCAGCAAACUACACUACAGCUGUGACAAUGCCAGAUCCCUUAACCCACUGCACCAUGCCAGGCUUCCACAGUGACCCCAGGUGUUGCAGUUGUAUUCUUAACCCACUGUGCCACAGCAGGAACUCCUAGUCCACACUUUUAAUUGAUUUCCUAUUAGAUACCUAGUAUGCCAGCAUUUAAAAACCUACUAAGAAUAUGAAAUAGAGUUCCUAUUAUUUCAAAUAUUAACAAGUUUAUUAAUAUGCUAGUCUUUUUUUUCUUUUUUUGGUCUCUUGUCCUUUUAGGGCCAUACUAUGGCAUAUGGAGGUUCCCAGACUAGGGGUCUAAUAGGAGCUUUAGCCACCAGCCUACGCCAGAGCCACAGCAACACCAGAUCUGAGCCAUGUCUGUGACCUACACCACAGCUCACAGCAACACCAGAUUCUUAACCCUCUGAGUGAGGCCGGGGAUUGAGCCCGCAACCUCAUGGUUCCUAGUCAGAUUCAUUUCCACUGUACCACGAGGGGAACUCCUAAUAUGCUAUUCUUGAAUGACAAGUCCCUUUACUGCUGGGGAAGGUGGAGUAUGACAACAAAAACGAACUAAAAAUCCUCCAUACCUCUUUUUAAGAAAGAAUUGCCAUCUCCCACCAUGACAGCAAUCUGAAGGUCAAAUCUAACUAGGAAGGUUAGCUUACUGUCCCUUCCUUGGUGGCCAAUGAGUUUUUUGUUUUAUGCAAGCUAGAGCUUCCAAACUAUGGCUGCCAAGUAGAUGAGAUGAAAGCAGUGUCAGCUUAAGGCCGUCAGGCAUAGAUAAAUCUGAUUCUGAAUACAUCUCCAUCCAUAAUGAAUUCAGCAACACACUUGGAAGGAGGAAGGAAAUCAUCAGACCGUUAUUUAAAAAAUUUCAGAGGGCUUGAUGGCACCCAGUUCUGCUGUCUUAUUGUCUGCUAACAAGAGGCCAAUCUCAGGGGGCUGCAAAGCCAUUUUCAUUUGCCCUCUCUCCUGAGCAGAGACAGACAGGUAGGAAUUAAAGUUUUAGGAAUUUGUUACCAUAUUUCAUUAUUUCAAGUUUACAUCAAAAUCUGAUAAUGAUAUGGCACUCAGUGCAUCAUACAUUUCCAAGAGGAAAAGGUGCCAAGAAACUGAGUUUUCAAACAGCCAAGAACCUAGAUUGUGUAGACCUGUGUCAAGACCUACCUUGCUUCCUACCCCAAGACCCUUUAGAGUUAAGAUCGAACAUCCUCCUAGAUCUCCAGGUUCAGAUCAUCUGAUCUCAAGUGAGGGAGGAAAGUCUGUAUGAUAUUCAAAAUAAAAUAUUAUCAUUCCUCCCAUUUCUUUUCAUAUGUUAAAGCUUUAUUCUGUUAUGUUGUUUUAUAAUUUAAAACAAUAAAGUCACUCAUUCAAGAGUACACAGUCUGAUGAGUUUGGUAAAUGCACAGAAGCAAUCACCACAAAACAAAAUUCCAUCUGGGUCUGACUACAUCAUUUGUAGGUGCCAGUGUAAAAUAUUACCAAAAAUUUCAAAAUAGUGACAACAGACAAAGACAAAGACAAAGCCCUUCUGAGCUUGAGGUCCUGUGAGACUGUAUACAUCACACCCAGGAACUGGCUCUGCUCCUCCAUCACGUUCCAAAAGUUCCCUUAUUCCCUUUCAGCUAAUCCCUGGCUACAGGCAACCACAGCUCUAUUUUUUGUCCUUGUAAUUUUGCCUUUUCUAGAAUUUCAUAAAGAUAGAAUCAUAUAGUAACUAUUCUUUUGUGUCUGGCUUUCAAUUUUAUUCAUUUCUCCUACUGUUCGUCCAUUUCUAUUGUAUUAAUUUCCUUUGCGAUGUUGAUUAUUUUUCUACUUUCUUCUGCUGAACUAUUUUAGGUUAGUUUUUUAUAGCUUCUUAAUGUAGAUGUUCAGAUUUUUUUUUCUAAUCUCCUGAAACUAGCAUUUAUAGCUUUAAAUGUCAACAUAGACAACACUGCCUUAGCUGCAUCUCACAAAUUUUGAUAUGCUUUGCUUUCAUUUUUAUUUAGUUCAAGAAUAUUCUAAUUUCUCUUGUCAAUUCUUCUUUAACCUCUGGGCUACUUAGAAAAUUCGUUAUUUUAAAAAUUCUACAUAUUUGUAGAUUUUUCAGAUUUCUUUUGCUAUUAAUUUCUAAUUUAAUUCUGAUUUUCAGAACAUAUUUCAUGUGAAUUUCAUCCCUAUUAAUUUAUUAAGAUACCUUCCUUGGCAAAGCAUUUGGUUUAUGAUGGUUAACAUUCUGUGUGCACUUGAAAAUGAAUAUAUUUUACUAUUAUUUGGGGCUUGAUAGAUAUAAACUGGAGAGUGUGUAGUUGGUUCUUGAAUUUUUAUUAAGUUGAACAAUCUCCUUUUUGAUUGUAAUAUUUAGGCCCUUUACAUUUAAUAUUAUUAUUAGUAUUAUUGUUCUAUUUUUUAGGUCUGCCAUUUUUAUUUGUUGGAUUUGUCAAUGUAGAACAGUUUAAAUGUGUUUAAGUCAUAAGACACAAGAUCAAUGUGAAAACAAGAUGUUCAAAUCUGUAACAGUGAGGGAAAUAAAAAUAUAAGAAGUGACCUUACUUCUGGCAGCUUGAUAAAGUUGUAAGAGUCUUUUCUGCAGAGAAAAGCAUACACCAAAAAGCAUUACUAAAAAUAA
rnacentral:lncRNA from 1 species